rnacentral:misc_RNA from 1 species
GCAAACUUGGUCAUUUAGAGGAAGUAAAAGUCGUAACAAGGUUUCCGUAGGUGAACCUGCGGAAGGAUCAUUAGCGAACAACUUGGCAAGGCUGUUGCUGGCUUUUAGAAGCAUGUGCACGCCUGUCGUCAGUUUUCCACACCCCAUGUGCACCGUCUGUAGGCUUGGAAAGGGUGCUUAUGUGCUCCUCCGGUCUAUGUUUUUACUAUCACACUCAGUAUGUAUAGAAUGUAUCAUGGGCCUUUGAGCCUAUAAACUAUCAAUACAACUUUCAACAACGGAUCUCUUGGCUCUCGCAUCGAUGAAGAACGCAGC